rnacentral:rRNA from 1 species
UGGCGAACGGGUGAGUAACACGUGGGUGAUCUGCCCUGCACUCUGGGAUAAGCCUGGGAAACUGGGUCUAAUACCGGAUAGGACCAUGCUUUAGUGUGUGUGGUGGAAAGUUUUUUCGGUGUAGGAUGAGCCCGCGGCCUAUCAGCUUGUUGGUGGGGUAACGGCCUACCAAGGCGGCGACGGGUAGCCGGACUGAGAGGUUGGUCGGCCACAUUGGGACUGAGAUACGGCCCAG